CACACUUUCUCAUCAAGUCUGAGUGGGACUGGGAUCUGGGUCCUUCUCCACACAGCCCUCCAGGAGGCCACUUCCCACCCCCAACCUCCCGCCUGGCUUGUCCGAGGGCUGGGCCUGGGAUGGAAGCUUGGGACGCAUGGAGUAGCCGCAGAGCUGUGCGGCAAAGAAGUUUGCGUGAAGGAACAAGAUAAAGAGAAAACUGGACACUUCAGAGGCUUAGUACAUGUGUUAGCGUGAGCAGAGAACAAGGUGUGGGGAGGCAAGAGUGUGAGGAGAGGCCAAUAGGUGGCAGGGGCCAGACCACAAAGGGUUGUGUGUGUUGUCUGCGGGAGUUGGGAGUUGGUUUGAGAGGCAGCGAGGAGUCACUGAAAACGUUCCAGCUGUGUCGUGGUCAGAGCCGAGUGAAGGAGGGACCGAUGGGAGAAGGACUGGAGCCAGUGCAGCAGUUAUGCAGAAAUGUGGAGGCCGUGCUGUCAGAUGGAGGGAAGGGGCUGCAGAGAAAGGCUGUGGAGAAGGAGACUGGACCAGGUUGAGAGACUGAGCAGUCUGUGGACAGUGGGUUUGGAGAGCUUAGGAUCAUGCGAAGGUUUCAGAAUACUGCCGUACAGACCCCAGGUCCCUUCUGGCAUCCUAUCUGUCUUCUUAUGUGUCGCUUCACCUCUCUAGAUAUGGGGACAAUAUAGCUAGUCCUUGCCGACUGUGACUUCCACCUCACCGCCUGGCUGGACCCAGGUAACAUUUUCUCCAGCCUUCCCUGAGGGUGGCUUGAAGAAGUCCAGCCACCCCUCUCUCCCCGCCACCCUUCUUUCCCAUGGAGAAGGUUCUGGCUCUGUGGGGACCAGGGGCUGAGGGGAAAGGAAGAGGCCAGCCGCACUGCCAUGGGAAUAUGGUGACUCAUUUCAUCAGUUUACUACUCUGAAAAUAAGGUGACUUCCCCCUUUGCUUGACAACUGAUUGAUGAACAUUUCCUGAGUAUUUGCAAAGGAGAUGUUUUGCUUCACGGGCCUUCGUGCUCACAGACUCCCAGCGGAUUCUAACCCUGGUGUGCUCCAGCUUUCCCACCUCCUGGGCUGCUGAGUUUUCUUUUUGUGCAGAAUCUUCAGGACUCACUAGACUUCAGGAUUGGAAACACAAUACUCUUGCGCCUGCUGAUACAACUCUGCUUAUGUUCACUUUUUUGUCAAAAUGUUAAAGAAGGAAGGAUCAUUUUUUAAAAUACUGAAACAGUAUUUUUUUAGCAACAACAGUAUCACCCACACUUAGUAUGUCAACACUGACAGUUGUCUGUAAAAAGAGUGCACUUCAUUUUGCAAGUCUGAAUUUGUUUUGUUUUUAGUUUUUACUUUCUUUCUCAGGAUGUGGGUUUGUAUAUUUUUAGAAGGAUGGUCCUUUACUUCGAUUCCAGAUGUCCUAAUGUUCUUGAUAGGAAAGGAAUCAGCUCUGGACAAUGUGAAUUGCUCUGCUAAGUGAUGGGAUGUUAGUGAAAGCUGCACAGGGAGAAGUGGAAGUAUUACUUUUAGGCCCCAAGAAUGUUCCUUGAUUCCAUUUGUCGAAAUUGAAGUGGAGGCAGUAGGUUUGUAUUAUGGGGUCAGGGCCAUCGUCUUAGGCAGUAGCCAUAGCCCUUAGAUUUGAUUUUCAUAUUUCAAAUGGAGACAGUAAGUUUAACGUGUCUUAUUUGCAGCUGGAACAGAUUCUAUUUUUAAUCUGUAAGUCAAGUAUGGCAUGGAGCCAUGUCUAUCCAGGUCCAAAUGCAUAACUCCUGUUGAUAUCAGUGAAUUUCAUGAUGGAUUGGAAGAAGUAUGUGGCCUUUAUUCCAAAUAUCUAUCUGACCCUGUAGAAUUAAACAUGCUGAACAAAUCCUACCACUUUUCAAGUUAAAAUGAGGUACUUUCUAAUGUAGCAAUCAUGCUGGCUUGAAAGAAUAAUGUAGCAGUUCCAAAGAGGCACACACACCCAUGACUGUGGAAUUGGUUUUCAGGCAGAGAGAGGCGACUGGGCUCAGGGACCUGGCCAGCAUGGGAAAGGACGUGGCUGUAUUGAGCUGCACAAAAUCGCCUUUAAAUAGGAAAGAUAAGAGGAGAAAGCCUUUUCCGUGGAUGGCACUCUGCUCCGGGGGGUACAUGCAGUGUUGUUGGCGAGGAAUUCUAGCAAGAGCCCUCCUGUACCUCCACACUCGCAUUGCCCAGAGGUGGGAAUGGGACGGCAAUAUUCACUCAGAGUUGACUGGUGUUUGCAUCCAUAAAUAAAUGCACUCAAAUCAUAAUUGUUCUAACAGGAUUGUUUGAUUACCUGGCAGUGGCCUUGUUCUGAGAUAGCUUCUGGAUCACCUGUUCGUUGGGAACGUUUGACAGACCUCAUGUUUAUUACCCAAUUGAAUGUCAGUAGCAAUUUCAGCUAAAGAUAAACAAAAAUGCAAGUACUUGUUGACCUUGACUUUUUUCCACAUGAGAUUGGACUUGAUGGCUCUAUUGCUAUUUGGCUGAUAAGGGAUUAUAAACAGCAGUUUAAGGGAAAUGUUUUAUUCCCAGAGGAAAAUGCUCUGUGCGCUGUGGGAAAUGGCAGUAGGCAUGUGUACCCUAGGUCAGAUUUUCUUAGUUCACCUUGAUCUGAGCUGUGGGAAGAGGGUAUGGGGUGUGUGUAGGGGGACUUUUUAUGGCUUUAAUAUACAACUGCAAAGAUUAACAUGAAUACAGUAGGUAGUUAGCAGAUUGAAUACAAUUUUAGAAGAAGUAAAUGAUGUUUCUGAUUUAUGAUACUUAGUAAUAUGAUUUCUUUUGAAACUAUCAUGUUAAUGUAAUAUUGCAUUUCAGAGAUGCAGUUCUUGUAAAAAUGCAAUAGGCUUAUGGUGCCAAAACGCUCUUUCAGAUUCUAAUUAAAAGCAUUAAACGUCAUUGGUUAGUGAUCUCACUAGGGGCAAAGAGGGAGAAAAUUGACCUGGUGAAUAUCUGUACACGGGACAAUACAGAAGUGCUGGGGAAGGGCAUUGGGGAGGGAAUGGCAAUCAGCACUUUCCUUGGGGCACGGAGUCUACAGUUCCAGAUUUGAAUUGAAAAACUCUAAAAACUCUGGGCCUUUAAGGACUCCCAGUUCUUGGUGAGGCAUAAAGCCUCAGCCGUGUGUCCUAUUUGCUCUUUAAAAUCCCAUUGCAUUUCCUUUUGAGGAGAGGUGCUUUGGCUCAAUGCCACUGGCUUCAACUUUUGCUCUUAAAAUGUUGUUUUGAUGCAUAGUAUAGUGAUGGCUGAAUUGAUUUCUGUGCAUAAACAGUGGCCUAGAUUCUUGCCCUGUGGAAAUCCAUGGAAUUAAAACUGUAGGUUCCCGUAGUGAUAAGAGGUAAGCAAAUGAUUAGAUAUGCAUGCAGGGGAAAAAAUUAAGAUGCUCAUAGAAUGGAAAUAAGGUCUAUAUCAUUUGCAAGUUUAAUGUAAAUGUACGCCACUAAUAUAACUAAUAAUUUGAUGCUAAUAUACGAGAGUGAGUAAAUGUAAUUUUAAUCAUUUUCUAUUUGGUGUGUUCUCAAAGAGUUCUGAGCAAAAAUGUACAGUAGUGAAAUACGUCCCUGGCCACCCAGGAUGAAAAUCUGGUCUGCAGACAACUGUGGCCCUUAUGAAACCUCUGGGACACUAGGGACUCAAAUUUCUCUCUAGAUAGAUAUUGCAGGACAAUUUGAGAUCACAGAAUGUAAGCCAGAAUUUCUUGCAGAGAUGGUUAGCACACUGGGCUUCGAGAUUUAUCCAGUAGAUAUCCAAGCUGAGAGUUCAUCCAACAUGCCUUUUUAAGUAGUCACUGGUAGUAUUCAUUAUAUAGACUGGAUUUGAAAAAAAAUUGACCUUCCAAUUAUUUUUCAAAGCAUAGAUUUCCUUGUGAAAAUAUCUCAGGCAAGUUUUGUAUACACUUUUUUGGAGAACAGGUCCUUUGAAUGGUUUUAAAAUAUCAGUAAAGAAAGCCAUACCAUAUAAAGCCAAUUAGGAAUUUCAUCUCUUUUAAAAAGCCACGAUGCCAGAAAAGUCCACUCUCCCCAGGCUUCUUUGCAGAGCCCCACUCCUUUCCAUGGGAAUUUCUUUGGAGAAUAACUGCUUGCUGACUUCCACUUUUCUAUGAAACUUUUGUGAAGAACAGUGGAAAUCUUUGCAGUGACAGAUGCCACUGCAGAUUGUUAUGAUGUCCAUUACUUGGUGAAUGAAAUUAGGAAGAAUUUAUUUCUGACAUGGUACAUACCCUUCCCUGAGACAGAAAGUCUAUAACCUAGAAUCUUUGUUAAAAAAAAAA